UGAAUACGAGAUGCUACGGCGUCGAAGCAGUGUAUGUCAGACUUCCAAGAAAAGCUCGCAAUGUCAUAAAUAAAUAAUGCCUGUACCAUAACCGACACAGGUGGGUAGGUAGAGUAUACUAAGGGGCGCGAGAUAACUCUCUCUAGGAACUCGGCAAAAUAACUCCGUAACUUCGGGAGAAGGAGUGCCUUAUUUUAUAAGGUUGCAAUAACAAGAUCCAAGCAACUGUUUAUCAAAAACACAGGUCUCCGCUAAGUCGUAAGACGAUGUAUGGGGGCUGACGCCUGCCCAGUGCCAGAAGGUUAAAGAAGUUGGUUAGCAUUCGCGAAGCUGAUGACUGAAGCCCUGGUGAACGGCGGCCGUAACUAUAACGGUCCUAAGGUAGCGAAAUUCCUUGUCGGGUAAGUUCCGACCCGCACGAAAGGCGUAAUGAUUUGGAUACUGUCUCGGAGAGGGACUCGGUGAAAUAGACUUGUCUGUGAAGAUGCGGACUACCUGCACCAGGACAGAAAGACCCUAUGAAGCUUUACUGUAACUUGAAAUUGAAAUUGGACUUUAUUUGCGCAGUAUAGGUGGGAGGCGUUGAAACUAAUCUUGCGGGAUUCGUGGAGCCAUCAGUGAGAUACCACUCCUAUAAUGUUAGAUUUCUAACUUUGUAUCAUGAUCUGGUCAAAGAACAGUUUCAGGCGGGCAGUUUGACUGGGGCGGUCGCCUCCCAAAUGGUAACGGAGGCGUACAAAGGUUUCCUCUGAACGGGUAGAAAUCGUAUCUAGAGUAUAAAGGCAUAAGGAAGCUUGACUGUGAGACCUACAAGUCGAGCAGGGACGAAAGUCGGUCUUAGUGAUCUGACGGUGCUGAGUGGAAAGGCCGUCACUCAACGGAUAAAAGUUACUCUAGGAUAACAGGCUGAUCUCCCCCAAGAGUUCACAUCGACGGGGAGGUUUGGCACCUCGAUGUCGGCUCAUCGCAUCCUGGGGCGGUAGUACGUCCCAAGGGUUGGGCUGUUCGCCCAUGAAAGCGGUACGCGAGCUGGGUUCAGAACGUCGUGAGACAGUUCGGUCCAUAUCCGGUGUAGGCGUUAGAAUAUUGAGAGGAGCCUUCUUUAGUACGAGAGGACCGAGAAGGACAUACCUCUGGUGUACCAGUUAUCGUGCCAACGGUAAACGCUGGGUAGCUAUGUAUGGAGAGGAUAACCGCUGAAAGCAUCUAAGUGGGAAGCCCACCUCAAGAUGAGUAUUCUC
rnacentral:rRNA from 1 species